rnacentral:rRNA from 1 species
GGCGACCGGCAGAAGGGUGCGUAACGCGUGAACAACAUGCCCGUAACAAGAGGAUAACCGAUGGAAACGUCGUCUAAUACUCUAUAUGAAUAUUUAUCGCAUGGUAAAUAUUUAAAAUUUUCGGAGGUUACGGAUUGGUUCGCGUCCCAUUAGGUAGACGGUGAGGUAACGGCUCACCGUGCCGACGAUGGGUAGGGGUUCUGAGAGGAAGGUCCCCCACAAUGGAACUGAGACACGGUCCAUACUCCUACGGGAGGCAGCAGUGAGGAAUAUUGGUCAAUGGGCGGAAGCCUGAACCAGCCAUGCCGCGUGCAGGAAGGAGGCCCUAUGGGUCGUAAACUGCUUUUGCCGCAGAGCAAUAAGAGAUACGAGAUAUCUUGAUGAGAGUAUGCGGUGAAUAAGCAUCGGCUAACUCCGUGCCAGCAGCCGCGGUAAUACGGAGGAUGCGAGCGUUAUCCGGAUUUAUUGGGUUUAAAGGGUGCGUAGGCGGCGUCACAAGUCAGGGGUGAAAAGCUAGUGCUUAACACUGGUCUUGCCUUUGAUACUGUGGUGCUAGAGUGCUCCUGCCGCAGGAGGAAUGAGUGGUGUAGCGGUGAAAUGCAUAGAUAUCACUCAGAACACCGAUUGCGAAGGCAUCUUGCGAAGGGGCGACUGACGCUGAGGCACGAAAGCGUGGGGAUCGAACAGGAUUAGAUACCCUGGUAGUCCACGCUGUAAACGAUGAUGACUAACCGCCGGCGAUAGAGUGAUCGGUGGCCAAGCGAAAGCGAUAAGUCAUCCACCUGGGGAGUACGACCGCAAGGUUGAAACUCAAAGGAAUUGACGGGGGCCCGCACAAGCGGAGGAACAUGUGGUUUAAUUCGAUGAUACGCGAGGAACCUUACCCGGGCUCGAACGGCUAGUGAACGGAGCAGAGAUGCCGAGUGUCCUUCGGGACGCUAGUCGAGGUGCUGCAUGGUUGUCGUCAGCUCGUGCCGUGAGGUGUCGGCUUAAGUGCCAUAACGAGCGCAACCCUUGUUGUUAGUUACCAUCAAGUAAAGUUGGGGACUCUAGCGAGACUGCCACCGCAAGGUGAGAGGAAGGGGGGGAUGACGUCAAAUCAGCACGGCCCUUGCGUCCGGGGCGACACACGUGUUACAAUGGCGGUUACAGAGGGGGGCUACCUAGUGAUAGGGUGCUGAUCUUAAAAAACCGUCUCAGUUCGGAUCGGAGUCUGCAACUCGACUCCGUGAAGCUGGAUUCGCUAGUAAUCGCGCAUCAGCCAUGGCGCGGUGAAUACGUUCCCGGGCCUUGUACACACCGCCCGUCAAGCCAUGGAAGCUUGGGGUGCC